rnacentral:tRNA from 1 species
AAUUAAUGAGCUUGAAUAAGCGUAUGUUUUGAAAACAUAAGAUAGAAGUUUAACCUUCUAUUAAUUU